rnacentral:lncRNA from 1 species
GGAUAAGUAGGCGGCUUAGCUGGAGAAGGCGAUGGUGGAGGAUAUGUCGGUGGAUGCACUGGUGGCUUAGUCGGGGGCGCAGUUGGCGGCUUAGUUGGAGGAUAAACUGGUGGCUUGGGUGGAGGGGCGUAAGUUGGUGGCUUGGUCGGUGGCUUGGGCGGAGGAGCGUAAGUUGGCGGCUUGCUGGGUGACUUGGGUGGAGGAGCGUAAGUUGGCGGCUUGCUGGGUGACUUGGGAGGAGGAGCGUAAGUUGGCGGCUUGCUUGGUGACUUGGGUGGUGGAUAAACUGGAGCAAUCUUGGGUGCUUUGGGUGGGGGGUAAACAGGUGGGUGAGUUGGGGGCUUAGUAGGGGAAGGGGUUGGCUGGUGGGGAUGCGGAUGCGGAUGCGGAUGCGGAUGCGGAUGGGGAUGGUGAUGGUGGUGGUGGUGGCUUGGUGGGUGAGCAGGUGGCACUACAGGCGAAAUUCCAUGGUAAUGAGGAGGCAAAGCCUCAGGCAAGAUCUGAGAAGACACCGUGAAGCUACUCAGUACGAAAAGGGAAAGGUGCAGGAGCAAGGCAGCUUUAGUUGCUACUGCAAACCCCAUAUUUUG